rnacentral:pre_miRNA from 1 species
ACUUUGGUGUGGGGUGGGGUUAGGUGCAUUCGGGUAUGUCCUCGGGUAGUCGGAUAUUCGAAUCAUCUGCUCCCAGCCAAGCUAUAUU